rfam:Clostridium sp. CAG:269 genomic scaffold, scf149
CGAGCAAAUUAAAUAGUCGCUGGUAAGAGAUGAAAAGACUUACGAGAGGAAAGUCCGGGCUCCAUAGAGCAAUGAUGCUAGAUAACGUCUAGUGAGGGAAACCUUAAGGAAAGUGCAACAGAAAAUAACCGCCUCUUUAGAGGUAAGGAUGAAAAGGUGAGGUAAGAGCUCACCGCUAAUAUGGUGACAUAUUGGGUCAGUGUAAACCCCAUCUGGAGCAACACCUAAGAAGAAGAUUAAGCCUGCUCGGCGCCUUCUGAAUUGCGUGGCUUGAUACAUAUAGUAAUAUAUGUACUAGAUAAAUGACUAUUUUAAAUGACAGAACCCGGCUUACAGAUUUGCCUAUAAA